rnacentral:lncRNA from 1 species
UUAAUUAAAUGGGUGGAAUUUGAACUUAAGAUACGAAAUUUAAUUAAAUAGAAAGAAAUUGGAUGAGAGUUUACGAGACUGGUAAAAUUUAAACUUAGGACGUCAUGAUACUAUACGAAAUAAUCAUUACUCUCUAAAAACUUAAAUUACCAGAGAAUAAUAUUUUAAUAUUUCAUACUUAAACAAAAAAAAAGGAGUAUAUUUUUUUGUACAUUUGUUUUUAAUUAAGCUU